UACGGGGGGGGCAAGCGUUGUUCGGAAUUACUGGGCGUAAAGGGCGCGUAGGCGGCCACCUAAGUCAGACGUGAAAUCCCUCGGCUCAACCGGGGAACUGCGUCUGAUACUGGGUGGCUUGAAUUCGGGAGAGGAAUGCGGAAUUCCAGGUGUAGCGGUGAAAUGCGUAGAUAUCUGGAGGAACACCGGUGGCGAAGGCGGCAUUCUGGACCGACAUUGACGCUGAGGCGCGAAAGCCAGGGGAGCAAACGGG
rnacentral:rRNA from 1 species